GGAAGCAGGUAUAUCAAACUACUUAAUCUUUAUUUUGUGGAAGCAGGUGUAUCGCAGGCCUCAUGCAAUAUUUGGUGGAACAGGUGUAUCGAACCCCUAAAUCAGUAUUUUGUGAAAGCAGGCAUAUCAAACCCCUUAAUCAGUAUUUUUGGGAGCAACA